AGGACGAACGCUGGCGGCGUGCUUAACACAUGCAAGUCGAGCGAGGCCCCUCCUUCGGGAGGGUGUCCUAGCGGCGAACGGGUGAGUAACACGUGGGCAACCUGCCCUCAGCUCUGGGAUAACCCCGGGAAACCGGGGCUAAUACCGGAUACGACCUCCUUAGGCAUCUGAGGUGGUGAAAAGUUUUUCGGCUGAGGAUAGGCCCGCGGCCUAUCAGCUUGUUGGUGGGGUGAUGGCCUACCAAGGCGACGACGGGUAGCCGGCCUGAGAGGGUGACCGGCCACACUGGGACUGAGACACGGCCCAGACUCCUACGGGAGGCAGCAGUGGGAAUAUUGCGCAAUGGGCGAAAGCCUGACGCAGCGACGCCGCGUGAGGGACGAAGGCCUUCGGGUUGUAAACCUCUUUCAGCAGGGACGAAGCGAAAGUGACGGUACCUGCAGAAGAAGCACCGGCCAACUACGUGCCAGCAGCCGC
rnacentral:rRNA from 1 species